CUCUAGUUCGACUCUGUGAAGAGUUAUGGAAGGGUGUAGCAUAAGUUGGAAGAUUCCCUGAAUCAACAGUGAAAUACCACUACUUUCAUAGACUCCUUGCUAAUUUGGUAAAGCGAGGAUUUAACCCCAAACCAGGGGUGCUUCAAAGUUUUACUACCAACUUUGAGCUGCUGUUUCAGGUAACUCGACUCUACAGCAAUAACCAGUAUUCACAACUGUCAACCACUCAUACGGGCUUAGAACCUUCUUUGGAACUUGCCCCACGCAAACGAACUCGGAG
rnacentral:ncRNA from 1 species